GACGAACCGUGCGAACGUUGUUCGGAUUCACUGGGCUUAAAGGGCGCGUAGGCGGGUGAUCAAGUCCGGGGUGAAAUCCUUCAGCUCAACUGGAGAAUAGCCUUGGAUACUGGUCGCCUCGAGGGAGGUAGGGGCGGGCGGAACUUCCGGUGGAGCGGUGAAAUGCGUAGAUAUCGGAAGGAACGCCGGUGGCGAAAGCGGCCCGCCUGGACCUCUUCUGACGCUGAGGCGCGAAAGCCAGGGGAGCGAAC
rnacentral:rRNA from 1 species